rnacentral:rRNA from 1 species
AUGAUGAGGCCACAGUUGCCCAGGUUCUACUACAAGAAGAGGUCUGCAGUCCACAACAGAACUGGCAAGGAUGAUAGCAGCCCCAAGAUCCAACCGCCCAGCUCGCCCGUGAGCAGACAGAGCCUGUCAACCUCUGCCAUCCCCACCUAUCAUGCUGGAGUUCCUAGGUCGAAGAAAUUCGAAGAAGCUCGAAGCCCCUGUCAGCGACUUGCUUUAUAUGUUAUUGAACUUGUAAUGCAUAAUUUUCUUGGAAUUUUGAUCGAUGGAAGAUCCUACGCUCUGCAGCUGAUCCAUCAGCAGCUGAUCCAUCAGCUUGGUCUGCAGCAGAUAAAAACCAAGCCUGGGGAAGGAAGGCCGGUAGGAGGAAGGCUGGUGGUUUGUGGUGACAUGCUUUUCAUGCUCAGUUCAAACAAGCUCCACCGCCUCAACAUGGGAACUGAGCCCGCGACUUGGAUGGCCGUGGAGAAGCUGGACAAUUGGGCACUCUUUAAGGGUCCAGGAGCAAAAAGCAGGCCGCAUUCUUGCAUGAGCUUGGAACUAUGGGGAGGGAGGAGCAGCAUCGUGCACUCUGCUCGUCCAUCUCGACCUUGGGCUCUCUAUGGGUUGUGUGGCAUGCUGGAUCCCAACUUAGGAAGCACACUAGCGAAAGCGUCAAUUUGCCGUUCUGGUUGUACCCAAGCAUGUUCUACUCGGAUGCCCAACGAUGAUGCAUGCUUGCCAGCCAACAAAAUGCAGCUUGCCGCAGCACCAGCUUUGGGGGGAAGCAGAGUGUCGUGA